GUUAGGAAUAUUGGACAAUGGGCGCAAGCCUGAUCCAGCCAUGCCGCAUGAACGAUGAAGGCCUUCGGGUUGUAAAGUUCUUUAGCCGAUGAUUAUAAUGACUGUAGUCGGAAAAUAAGCCCCGGCUAACUUCGUGCCAGCAGCCGCGGUAAUACGAAGGGGGCGAGCGUUAUUCGGAAUCACUGGGCGUAAAGCGUGCGUAGGCGGUCUCGUAAGUUAGGAGUGAAAGCCCAGGGCUCAACCUUGGAAUUGCUCUUAAAACUGCAAGGCUAGAAUCUCGGAGAGGAUAGCGGAAUUUCCAGUGUAGCAGUGAAAUGCGUAGAUAUUGGAAGGAACACCAGUGGCGUAAGCGGCUAUCUGGACGAGUAUUGACGCUGAGGCACGAAAGCGUGGGGAUCAAACAGGAUUAGAAACCCCUGUAGUCC
rnacentral:rRNA from 1 species